rnacentral:rRNA from 1 species
AUUGAACGCUGGCGGCAGGCCUAACACAUGCAAGUCGAGCGAGCGGCGGACGGGUGAGUACUGUCUGGGAAACUGCCGGUUGGAGAGGGAUAACACCUGGAAACGGUAGCGAAUACCGCGUACAAUACGAUGUGCGCAGGUGGGAUUAGCUGGUAGGUGGGGGAACGGCCCACCUAGGGGACGAUGCCUAGCUGGUCUGAGAGGGUGACCAGCCACACUGGAACUGAGACACGGUCCAGACUCCGACGGGAGGCAGCAGUGGGGAAUAUUGCACAAUGGGCGCAAGCCUGAUGCAGCCAUGCCGCGUGAGUGAAGAAGGCUUUCGGGUUGUAAAGCACUGUCAGCAGGGAGGCGUUACCCGAAGAAGAAGCACCGGCUAACUACGUGCCAGCAGCCGCGGUAAUUC